AUUGAACGCUGGCGGAAUGCUUUACACAUGCAAGUCGAACGGCAGCACGGGGGCAGCCCUGGUGGCGAGUGGCGAACGGGUGAGUAAUACAUCGGAACGUGCCCGGUCGUGGGGGAUAACGUAGCGAAAGUUACGCUAAUACCGCAUACGAUCUGAGGAUGAAAGCGGGGGACCUUCGGGCCUCGCGCGAUCGGAGCGGCCGAUGUCAGAUUAGGUAGUUGGUGGGGUAAAGGCCUACCAAGCCGACGACCUGUAGCUGGUCUGAGAGGACGACCAGCCACACUGGGACUGAGACACGGCCCAGACUCCUACGGGAGGCAGCAGUGGGGAAUUUUGGACAAUGGGCGCAAGCCUGAUCCAGCCAUUCCGCGUGCAGGACGAAGGCCUUCGGGUUGUAAACUGCUUUUGUACGGAGCGAAAAGGCUCUGGCUAAUACCUGGGGCUCAUGACGGUACCGGAAGAAUAAGCACCGGCUAACUACGUG
rnacentral:rRNA from 1 species